CCGUGAGCCCCCGUGGGCACCACAGCUCCCUUGACAGAGUAAGAGCCUGUUUUCUUUCCAGCCGUGUUUGACAAAUGCAAUGAGAACACUUUGCUUUCAAUCUGCUCAAGCAAGCGAUUGCUGCGGCAGUGAGAAGAUCUCUUUUGAUGGACACAGUUGAAAGAGAAAUCCUGAAGAGCGGCUUCUGAGAGAAAACCCAUUGGAAUAAGAAGAUACACCACACGUGCCGUAAAAGAGGUAUGGCAAGAGGUGCCCAGGUCUUGCUAAGGAUCACAGAGAGCUCUUCCACUCCUGAGAAGAAAGGGAGACAUGUAUCUUCCAGGCACACAGGAACCUGCCUAGACUGGGAAAACAAAUCCUGCAGGAUACAAACGCUGUUCCAGGCUGCUGUAUGUUAUUAUCCAAACACCAUUUCUCUCCUCAAGGCUUGUGCCAGCAGCCGUGUCUCACCAGCAUUGAUGGAGCAGCCUCUGGAACGGAUGGUUUGGGUCAGCAGAGAGGUUUUGCAGCCACACUGCCAAAGGUGUUUUCCCUGUUCCUCAUCCUCAAAGGGAAGGCUCAGUCUGGAAUUGACUCGUUUUGGUUACCCACCACCAGGAAACUCGAGUAUAGGGAGGACGGGAGCCUUGUUUUGCAUCACUACCCUCCGAGCUCAUCCCUUACAAACCCUGCCCUCCUGCUCUGCGACAGCGCAGCGCAGAUGCAUGUUUGUUGCCCGCUCUCCCAUCAUUGAGACAUCAUUUAGUAUUAAGACACAGAGGACCAGGGGCCUCAGAAGCAGCGAGGGAAGAUUUACAGCACAGUUGCUGUCAGUUGCUUUGGUCUAAUUAAGUGGCUCCUGCCUCCCUGAUGCAGUUCCAGUGCGGUGGAGCUUGACUUGCUGGGUAUUAGGGAAGCCUCCCGGCCGCUCACUGUUACUAAUACCUCCACCCCACUGAAAUAACACUGAGAUAAGCUGUAAAAGUCUGUCAUUGAGCUCUCACCCCUUUGUCAGUAGAUGGGUGCCUCCUUCCUUGGGUGCCCAUGCCCAGGACAGCACCCAACACAUCCCAUGGGGCAAGGGUGGCCGUGGGGAGAGGGAUGUGGGGCCAGAUGCUGCUCCUGUGGGGCCACCCCUAACCUCAAACCUUUCCUUGGAGAUGCAGGCGCUUCUCUGCCUCCUUGUCAGAGGAGAAAGCGGGGUACUGGUGGUAGAAGAGAGCUCGGGAGAAGAAGACCAAGGCAGCCAUGGACCCAAGAGUUCUUCUCCCCAUGGCCCCAUGUUUCUGGGCAGGGGCUCCCUCCCCAGUUUGCCCAGAGCCACUCUGCCUCUCUCUGAAUUUCCAACACCUGGAAGCAGAACAGCUUGCAAUAAGCAAUUCACACAACAAGCUCAGCCUGUUUUCUCACGUCAAAGAAAUAACGAACAGGUCAUGGCUUAAGUAAACGUGUCUAUUAGCCUCAGUUGUCUGAAUUAUUUUUGAUUAUGGCUUAUUAUUUGCUUCUUGUUAACAAAUUGGCUGGUGUUAGUCAUCAGUGCACAUGCCACCUAAUUGGCUGUUUACAUCAUAUGUUGUUCUCCCUGUUCCCUCAUUGGGUAAAUUAAAUUUUAUUAAACAGCAGCCUUCUUCCUCUCUGUUCUCUGUUUGCAGAUGAUGCAUGAACAUUUGUAGCUACUUGGCAAUUCUGUCGUGAGAUAAUAAAAGAGCUUUUCAAAAUGCCA